CACUAUGAACUCCGAGGGGGUGUGUGUUUGCUCCCCCCCUUCAGUUUUCAUGACUUGAACUUUCCAGACUCAUUACGCGUCUGGUGGUUUAAAAUAAAAGCAUGGACGGUCUUUCUUGACUCAUCCGCACGCAAAAGUGUAAUACGAGCUGUCAAAGGCUUCAUUCACUUCUUGCUAAGGACGUCAGAUGGAUCGAUUUAAUCCAUGGUCGCAGGAAAUCCUGGGGACUACGCAAGUAGAACCUAUCCAUAGC
rnacentral:misc_RNA from 1 species